rnacentral:rRNA from 1 species
CCUACGAGGGGCAGCAGUGGGGAAUAUUGCACAAUGGGGUAAACCCUGCUGCAGCAACGCCGCGUGACGGAAGACGGUUUUCGGAUUGUAAACUUCUGUUCUUAGUGAAGAAUAAUGACGGUAGCUAAGUAGCAAGCCACGGCUAACUACGUGCCAGCAGCCGCGGUAAUACGUAGGUGGCAAGCGUUUUCCGGAAUUACUGGGUGUAACGGGAGCGCAGGCGGGAAGCCAAGUCAGCUGUGAAAACUACGGGCUUAACUUGUAGACUGCAGUUGAAACUGGUUUUCUUGAGUGAAGUAGAGGUUGGCGGAAUUCCGAGUGUAGCGGUGAAAUGCGUAGAUAUUCGGAGGAACACCGGUGGCGAAGGCGGCCAACUGGGCUUUAACUGACGCUGAGGCUCGAAAGUGUGGGGAGCAAACAGGAUUAGAUACCCCAGUAGUC